rnacentral:rRNA from 1 species
GACGAACCGUCCGAACGUUAUUCGGAAUUACUGGGCUUAAAGCGCGUGUAGGCGGGCCGACACGUCCGACGCUGAAAUCCCCCGGCUCAACCGGGGAAGGGGCCCGGAUACGAUCGGCCUGGAGGGGGGUAGGGGGGCCUGGAACUUCCGGUGGAGCGGUGAAAUGCGUUGAGAUCGGAAGGAACGCCCGUGGCGAAAGCGAGGCCCUGGACCCUUUCUGACGCUGAGACGCGAAAGCCAGGGGAGCGAACGGG